UUGCCAGCCUUUCUGUCCAUUUUUUAUUUAUGAGUAGUUUUUACUAUCGUAUCUUCAAAGUUGGUUCGAACUGGAGAGGGUGUGCUAAAUUUUGCUGAAAUCGGUUCAGUAGUUUAGGAGUCCAUCGCGAAUAAACAACGUGACACGUAAUUUUUAUACAUACAUAUAUUAAGGUCACUUAAUAUGUAUUCUGCAAAAGAAAAUCUAAAAUUUGUGUUGCAUUCAUUUAAUCAAAUGGUGAAACUGUGUCACGUGUGUUUUCAUGUUUACGUAAACAAUGUGUUGGCAGAAAACUGUUUUUAUAUUUAUACCCUGAACAGGGUAUAUUAAGUUUGUCACGAAGUUUGUAACACCCAGAAGGAAGCGUCGGAGACCCUAUAAAGUAUAUGCAUAUACAUAUAAAUUAUCAGUAUGUUGAGCUGAGUGGAUUUAGCCAUGUCCAUCUGUCUGUCUGUCCGUCUGUAUAUAUACGAACUAGUCUCUCAGUUUUGAAAUUUUGCAAACGUCAUUUUCUCUUCGAGAAGAUGCUCAUUUGUCGGAACUGUCCUAUAAACUGAACGAUCGGAAUCAAGUUCUUGUAUGGAAAACUUUCACAUUUGUCAAUGUAUCUUCACGAAAUUCGGUAUAGAUUAUUGUUCAUAUCGGGGCACUAUAGGAUAUAGCUGUCAUACAAACCAAACGAUCGGAAUCAAAGGCUUGAAAACUUUUGAAUUUGACCAUAUACGUGGAAUGAGAAUUAAGUAAAGAGACAGAGCUAUACAGCGAUUCCAGCGCGUUUUCCAUGCUUCGUAAUAUUUCUGGAACGCUUCGACUGGGAUGUCCGCGAGUCGACUUGCUCAUGCGAGCUUUUUAGGGACGGGGGGCGCGCGGAGACAACCAUUGUGAGCUUUGGCGUUUGGUUUCCGGGUCGUAAGAGCACUAUCACCAUACACUCUUACAAUUUUAGCGUACGUUUCCGAAGCUGUUUCGCCCAAUCUGGCGCAAAAUUUUAUCGCGACGCGUCGCUCUUGAUUUCGUUAUUCCAUUUUCGUGACGAGCACUGCAAACACACGUCUACUCAACCUGACGCAGUAGGUGAACUAAACAAGCUAGAGCGAUGGUACAUAUAUCAAUGGAGAGGGGAGGGAUGCCGGAAAAAGAGAAAGAGAAUUUCUCACAAGCGCGGCAAUAAAAUAAGUCUCAUUACUUAAUUGUCAAAUCCCGUAUAUCGGCUGCACCGAAGCUAACGUUUUUUCUGUUUUUUUUUCUAAAAAAUAAUAAAUAUUUGUGCUCAGAUCAUAAUCUUUUCAUAGUUUUUCCAGUAAAGAAAUAAGGAAGCAAUUAAUAUAACGGGUUAAAGCUUUGCACAAAUAUGCCACCUUAUGACCCAAAAAUUUUUUAAAUUCAAUAAAAUCUUUUCAAGCCCCUAGGUAUCGACUAUUUCGAUCCCGGUAUCUAUAGUUGCCUUGUUAUCAAAAAUGUCGAUCAAUGUGUGAUAUAUAUAUCUGAAAUUAAGGGAUAAUCCUCCUCGGCCAAUAUGUGAGUUAUCCCAAUGAAAAUAAGUGAGAGUGUUAUGUUCAUAACAGUGCAUCUUUGUGCCUGAAAUAGAUAAAUUUGACUGAAAUUUGACCUAGACCCUAUAUAACUAAUAUCAGAAUUUGCGAACACCUUAUAGUAUUUCCCUGGCUUUGAUUCUUGCAAGUCGGUUGCACCCGAACUUAGCCCUUCCUUAAUUGGAUAGUAAAAACCAUUCAUAAAUAAAAAAAUACAGUGAAAGUUCUAUUAAAUAGACGCUCUAUUAAGUGGGCAUCUCCAUUAACCAUGCAUUCUGGCCGGUCCCACAAUUUGUUGAUUAUUAAGUACAAUCGGACAACUCUAUUAACUGAACAGAAACGCUGGUAACCAGAUAUUAGAAAGCGGCCUUAAAUUCAUGAUUCGCAAAUUCAUUCCGAAAACAACUAUAGCGGCAGCAGCAAUAACAUCAACUAUCUCAAAACCAAUAAUAAUACCAACUUCCCCAACGGCAAUAGCAGUAACAAAACCUGUGAAAGGUGCAAAUUGACGAUUUGAACACCAAAUUUGACAACAUGCUAGAUUACCUUAAAAAAAUGAUGGAAGUUCAGGCAAAGCAAGGUGCCCAAUUAAGCGUUCUUGCUAAUAAGGACGCAGAUAUGAGGAAUUUGAGCAAACUCUCCCUAUAAAAACCAUUGAAGAAAUGGAAAGCGUCAAUAACGCCAUAAAUGAGGUGAACAUCAAUGAAUAUAUUAACGCAAUAAAACACUUAUUAAAGGGGGAUCAUGAAAAGCACUUUGAGGAAAUUAUCUCCAGAUCUAUGUGCAACGAAGUCAAUGUAGGCGUCCAUGGCAAGAUUUGGCUCAAAAAAUAUAUUUCCUUGUAUGAUGCGAUUAUAAGUGGAUUGUCGGCGACGUCAGAAAAGCCCGAUAAGCAACUAUCGAAAUGCCUCCACAUUGUUAAAAAAAGGCUGUAUAGAUUGACCACAGUUAAUAAACUAAAUAUCGGAAAUAACUAAUAUAAUUAACACUAUUGACUUUUUUUAUCUACUUUUAGUAUAAAAACAGAUUUUUUUUUUUUACAGAAUAUGUGAUUAUUUUUUUUUUAAUUUUUGAAAUCAUUAUCUGAGGAAUUGUUUUUUUUGUAUUUUUGAAAUCAUUAUUAUAAAUUAUACUUAGUUUUAAGAA